UGGGGAAUAUUGCACAAUGGGCGCAAGCCUGAUGCAGCCAUGCCGCGUGUGUGAAGAAGGCCUUCGGGUUGUAAAGCACUUUCAGCGGGGAGGAAGGCGGUGAGGUUAAUAACCUCACCGAUUGACGUUACCCGCAGAAGAAGCACCGGCUAACUCCGUGCCAGCAGCCGCGGUAAUACGGAGGGUGCAAGCGUUAAUCGGAAUUACUGGGCGUAAAGCGCACGCAGGCGGUCUGUAAGUCGGAUGUGAAAUCCCCGGGCUCAACCUGGGAACUGCAUUCGAAACUGGCAGGCUAGAGUCUUGUAGAGGGGGGUAGAAUUCCAGGUGUAGCGGUGAAAUGCGUAGAGAUCUGGAGGAAUACCGGUGGCGAAGGCGGCCCCCUGGACAAAGACUGACGCUCAAGUGCGAAAGCGUGGGGAGCAAACAGG
rnacentral:rRNA from 1 species